CCUACGGGUGGCAGCAGUGAGGAAUAGUGGGCAAUGGACGAGAGUCUGAACCAGCCAAGUAGCGUGAAGGAUGACGGCCCUAGGGGUUGUAAACUUCUUGUAUAAAGGAAUAAAACGAGGCACGUGUGCCUUUUUGCAUGUACAUUAUGAAUAAGGAUAGGCUAACUCCGUGCCAGCAGCCGCGGUAAUACGGAGGAUUCGAGCGUUAUCCGGAUUUAUUGGGUUUACAGGGAGCGUAGAUGGGUUGUUAAGUCCGUUGUGAAAGUUUGCGGCUCAACCGUAAAAUUGCCUUUGAUACUGGCAGUCUUGCGUACAGUUGAGGUAGGCUGACUUCGUGGUGUAGCGG
rnacentral:rRNA from 1 species